rnacentral:rRNA from 1 species
UACGGAGGGGGCAAGCGUUGUUCGGAAUUAUUGGGCGUAAAGGGCGCGUAGGCGGCUGAACAAGUCAAAGGUGAAAUCCCUCGGCUCAACUGAGGAACUGCCUUUGAAACUGUUCGGCUUGAGGCCGGGAGGGGGUAGCGGAAUUCCCAGUGUAGCGGUGAAAUGCGUAGAUAUUGGGAAGAACACCGGUGGCGAAGGCGGCGACCUGGUCCAUUACUGACGCUGAGGCGCGACAGCGUGGGGAGCAAACAGG